CCUACGGGUGGCUGUAGUGGGGGAUAUUGCACAAUGGGGGGAACCCUGAUGCAGCGACGCCGCGUGAGUGAAGAAGUAUUUCGGUACGUAAAGCUCUAUCAGCAGGGAAGAAAAAAGGACUGUACCUGAGUAAGAAGCCCCGUCUAACUACGUGCCAGCACACGCGGUAAUACGUAGGGGGCAAGCGUUAUCCGGAAUUAAUGGGUGUAAAGGGAGCGUGGACGGCAAUGCAAGUCCGGAGUGGAAUGCGGCAGCUCACCUGCCGAACUGCUCUGGAAACUGUAUGGCUUGAGUGCAGGAGAGGUAAGCGGAAGUCCUGGUGUAGCGGUGAAAUGCGUAGAGAUCAGGAGGAACAACAGUGGCGAAGGCGGCUUACUGGACUGUAACUGACGUUGAGGCUCGAAAGCGUGGGGAGCAAACAGGAUUAGAUACCCUUGUAGUC
rnacentral:rRNA from 1 species